rnacentral:rRNA from 1 species
AGAGUUUGAUCAUGGCUCAGGACGAACGCUGGCGGCGUGCUUAACACAUGCAAGUCGAACGAGAUCCAAUCAGUAGCAAUACUGAUGAAGAUCUAGUGGCGAACGGGUGCGUAACACGUGAGGAACUUGUCCCGGUCUCUGGGAUAACAGUUGGAAACGACUGCUAAUACCGGAUGACGUCGGAACUUCGCAUGGAGUACUGACGAAAGGGCUACUGGAUCGGGAGAGCCUCGCGGCCUAUCAGCUUGUUGGUGGGGUAAUGGCCUACCAAGGCAUCGACGGGUAGCUGGUCUGAGAGGAUGAUCAGCCACACUGGGACUGAGACACGGCCCAGACUCCUACGGGAGGCAGCAGUGGGGAAUCUUGCACAAUGGGCGAAAGCCUGAUGCAGCAACGCCGCGUGCGGGAAGAAGGCCCUCGGGUUGUAAACCGCUUUCAGAAGGAACGAAACUGACGGUACUUUCAGAAGAAGGUGCGGCCAACUACGUGCCAGCAGCCGCGGUGACACGUAGGCACCAAGCGUUGUCCGGAUUUAUUGGGCGUAAAGAGCUCGUAGGCGGUUCAGUAAGUCGGGUGUGAAAACUUUGGGCUUAACCCAAAGCGUGCAUCCGAUACUGCUGUGACUUGAGUACGGUAGGGGAGCGGGGAAUUCCUAGUGUAGCGGUGAAAUGCGCAGAUAUUAGGAGGAACACCGGUGGCGAAGGCGCCGCUCUGGGCCGAAACUGACGCUGAGGAGCGAAAGCAUGGGCAGCAAACAGGAUUAGAUACCCUAGUAGUCC